CACAUGAAGGCACUACACAUAUUAGACUUAGUUGCACAUGAAGGCACUACACAUAUUAGACUUAGUAACUAGAAGCUAAGUUAUAACCUACUAGAAACUUGGAAACAAUUAGAAACAAUGGAUAAUGUGCUUAGAUUUCACAUUGAUAUGUGAAUUCUACGACUACUUAACUUUAGUGACUAUCUAUAUUAGGGUCACUCUUUGACUUGAACACCAUUUCAUGAAUCAUAUACACACAUCAUGCACUUGACCUAGUGGUAGAAAUUAGGUCAAAGUCACAUAGAAACUUAAGUCAAAGUUGAAGAGUAGGACUAGUAUACUUGAUUCCUCAAUUUCGCUUGAAUCUCAGAAUCACUACAUAGAAUGCAAUUAAACCGAUAAAAAAAAAUAUUACAAACAUUAUUUCUAACUUGAAUAAGAGUUAUGAAACUCUAAAAUAGUUUGAAGUCUCAAAAUUUAAUUAAUUUUGAUAUCCAAAGACUUACAAACUCUCAAAAACCCUAAAUGCCCUAAGAACUCAAAUUUAUAAACUUUAACACCUAACACCUAAAAAUCCAUAAAUUUGGUAUGGACUAUAUAAUAUCAAUUUAAAAUAACUCAAUUUAGUAAAAUAUAACCAAGGAAAAAAAAUUUAAGUCAUUAGUAUUUAACCUUAUUUUCUAAGCCAAAAAUCAAGGUUUUGUGAAGGAAAAUUUAGAAUAAGGUGCAUGUUUUAUAAAAACUUGAUAUUUUUAUAAAAUAAAGUUAUAUUUUAUAAAAUUUAAAAGAGGGAGACCCUCUCUUCAUUAAAAAGUCGGANUUAAGAGAGGGAGACCCUCUCUCCACUCCAAAGUCGGACUCCCCUCUCCCAAGACCCUCCUCCUCUUCCCAAUACACCAUUUUCCCAAGUCAUUAAUCAAUAUCAAUCACCCACUCCAUCUCUUUCUCUCUCAUUAAAUUUCAUCGAUUUAUGUUGCUGUUUAGUAUGAUUUUCGAUUUUUUUUGUUUGGGUAAAAUAAAUCACAAAACCACUUUAGGGAGUGUGAAAAUUGCAUCUAACAAUUGUCGCAGCUCUUACCUGUGGUGAGAGACGCAGAAAAAUAAUUUCAGAAUUUUUCAUCAUGCCUUCCUAUUUUUCCCAAUUUUUGGUAUUUAUAAUGGCCUAAAAAUAGGAAAAAUAGUUCUGAUCAUACAAAAUUCAUGAAAUUUUACCAGAACAUCGUGUUGUACAGUAGGAGGUUACAUAAAAAUUUUGAUGAUUUUUCUCUACUGUAUACUAUUUUUCGCCUAUUUUCUAAGGUUAAAUACACUUAAAUACCCUUAAAUACACAUAAAUACCCAAAACAGGAUUAUACAAUAUGAAAACCACUUUUGGUAUUUUUCCCAGAUUACUUAGACUGUAAAUGAUGUUACAAAAAAUUUUGGUAAUUUAUUUUAACUGUUUAUUAUUUAUUCUUCAAUUAAUGAUUAUUUAAGGGGAUAAAACAAGGAAAAAUAAAAAUACCCACUUUAAAAUAUCUUUUAUAUUUUUCCCAGCCUAGCUAUGUAUAAUAACAGUUAAAUAAAAAGUUUGGGUUAUUUUGGAAACUUUUUUCUAUUUAUUUCAAUUUUUAUUAUAAUAAAUGCACAAAAAUCAUAACAAUUGGUUAAACAGUUUAGAAACCCAUUUUUAUAUUUUUCACAGAUUAAUUAUGCGUAAUGACAUUACUAUAAAAAGUUUGGGGGAUUUUCUUAACUGAUUUCUGUUUUUCAUGAAUUUUUAUAUAUUUAGAGAAUUAAAUAUAUGAAAAAUGGUUAUGCAUAUCCAUAAUCCAUGAAAAAUUAUCUAGAAGUCUUUUAACACAUUUCUAACCAAAAUCUGAAGUUUGGUAAUUUUUAUUAACUGUUUAGUAUUUUUCAAGAUUUUAUGGUUAUUCAAGAAACUAAAGUGGUGAAAAAUAGUUAGACAAAUCAAAAAUUCAAGAAAAUUUAUCUUGAGGUCUUUGACUUCAAUUAAAACUAAAAUGAAAAGUUUGGGAAAUUUUAGAACUAAAUUGAUUUAGUUUGGAAUAUUUAAUCAUUGGAACACCUCUAAAAUGUUAAAUACUAAUAUUUCAAUAAUGGAGAUUUUCCGCUUAAAUUGUUAUAUAACAAUUGAUUCUUUGAAACUUAUCCACAGAAAAAUAUUUAUAAUUUAUCAAUAUUCAAUUUUGACUCAGUAUUGGCAUAAUUCUAUUGUAGUAGUAAGUAUAUUAGUGUUACAUUUCGAUUAGAGACUCACUAGUGAAUACCAAUAUUGUAGGAAUCAGUAGUGGUACACGUGGAACAUUGUCAAGGCACCAUUUGCAUCAUCUCAAUGUAUUGUGAGUAUUCACCAAUCCCCUAUUUUCGAUUUUUAAAUGUUUUGGGGUGGAAAAGCAUGUCCUAAACUAUUUAUAUUCGUUGUAUUUAUUUAACUCGUUUAAACUUGGUUGCUAUGUUUAGCAUAUUGUGAGUAUUCACGCACUCCCCUAUUUUCAGUUUUUAUGUUUUGGGGUGGAAAAGCAUGUCCAGAAAAACUAUUGUUUGCAUGAUGUAUUUAAAUUGACUAUUAUCAAACAUGAUUGCCAUUGUAUUGCUAUGUUUCUUUAUGUAUGUCUAUGCAACACAGAACAUGAAAACUUAUUGUACUAAGGCCCUUCCCUUAUCUCUAACCAUUAACUCUUUGAGCCAAUGGUCAUUAUGGAUAGCGCUAUUAGGAAUUGACAACUCCUCACUCGCCCUAUUGCUGGAGUGCAUGAUACCAUAUUCAUCUAUGGAACGAUAAGCAUAGAUCUCGAUAGGGCUUCAGUCAUAGGUUUGGUUGAGACUCAUUGUUUGCUCAUAUACAUACAAACUCGUUUCUCGUUAUAGCAAUAAACUUGUAUUCAUUAAUAGCAAUCAACUUUGUUUCUCAUUAUAGCAAUGAACUCUAUUUCUCAUUACAACAACGGAUUUUUACUAGUGGAAACUUGUAUACAUGUUUUAGCAAUGAAAUUGUUUGCUCCUUGUAGCAACGAAAUUGACAGCUCAUUUUAGCAAUGAAACUUGUUUACUCGUUUGAGUAACGAACUUUAUCUUCCAUGAGAAUAUGAAUGUUGCAUCUUAUUCGGGCAAUAUACUUUAUCUCUCAUGAUGACAAAGAACUUUGCUUUUACAAACUUAUUUACUCAUUUUAACAAUAUACUUGUAUUAUUGGAAACUUUUAUCAAAACUUUGAUUUCAACCCAUGGAACCAAGAUUAUUUUGUUUAUUUGUGAGUACUCACCAACUAUUUUUAUAGUUGACGCUCGUUUUACAUGCUUUUUCAGGAAUUAUCGAGUAAGUGGCACUUAGGGACACUUCACUUUUAGGAGCAUUCGCAUGUGUUGUAUUUCUAUUUUCAUUGUAAUUUCUUGUAAAAGUUGUUCAAACCCAUUGUAAAUUUGUAAUGAUUUUUAAUACUAUGGUUGGUGUUGUCUUUUAACUUUUGCUAUGAAACCCUUUAUACUGCCACGCCUCGUGUUUCCGCUUUAGCGGGGUGUGACAGUAAAUGGUAUCAGAGCCGAAGGUUAUAGAGAAUACCGGUUUUCCUUUGGAAAACCACAACUAUAGCCAAAAUUUUCAAAACGUUUUUAAAAUACUGAACAUACUAAUGGUAUAACUAAUUCCAGUACGCAUUAUUGGACUUUAAUUAAGUAUAGCCUGGCCAACUAUGCUUAAUUAAGGAACGUUAACGCGAGGCUGGAAACGGUUAUAGUAGAAUUAUGUUCAAAACAAUUUUCAACUUAAACUUUUGAAAAACAAAAAUUUUCGGUGUGCGUACGGGCAUUGCAUAUUAUAGGCAUUCAUCUAGGUACACUUAGAAACUAAGUGCACUUUUACCAUAAUGCCUUUAUUUAGAAAUAUUCUUAUCCCUUAUCAUGUGCUAGGUUAACCACUUAGGUUAUAUCACUAGCCACUCUAGGAGCAAUGCACUUAGUGUUGAGAAUGAGUAUUCCUUGGUAACUAUUGACUUUAGAUGUAAGGUUAGUAGCUAGAUAUACACUAGUAAUAAUCAUAAGUCAAAACCUAUGCCAAUUAUUCCUCAAUACCUCUUCAUUGUCCUCGUACUAGAGUUACAACUAUGAAAAAGUGUUUCGAUAUCGACACGAAUGAUAAUCGGAGCAUCACAUAAGGUGGUAGAUGAGUCUCCACUAAAUAAUCACUUGGAUACCAUUGGCGGGCAUUCCAGAUUCAACUCACGAGGAAAUACGGAGGUUUAACCCAUACGUGAGACUUUAUUACUACGCUACGAUUUAACUCUAGGUUGUUUCCACCUUGAGCUUAAAACUUAACAUAGGAUAUCCCUUUGACCUUUAUAAAAGGUCAUAGACUGCAUUGGCACCAUAAAACGUUUUGCUAACAAUUUUUCUUGUCCUUUAUCUUGGGGAAAAAGACAUUGGUACUCGCCUUAUACUCGCCUUAAUAUUUAGGUACAAUUAGCUACACUAACGUACCUAUUCAUUACUUCUUAAUCUUCAAUCAAAAAGUUAUUUCGCUUCAUAGGUUUUAUUUAUCAUCGAUAAAAUAUUUUAUAACCACUUCAUUCAACUUAUUAGAUUUUUCCUAACAAUGUAAGCCAUAUUCUCGCUAAAAAUCUUUUGACAACUUGCUUUAACUUAAAACUUUUAUUCAAAACUCAAUUUAACCAAUAUUGUUUUUAAUCAUGCUAUUACAAUCUCAUUUCAAAUCCAUUUCAAUGGAUAGAUGUGCUUUUGAGGGCACAUAAACCAUUUUAAACAUUGCUUACCAUUUUGACUCGUUUUCAAAAAUCUAGAAACAUUUUCUUUUAUAAUCGUGUUUAAAAUCUUUGCUACAAAACAUAGACCUAUGACAUUGAAGUUCAUUUUAUGUGUAAAAGCUUCAUUGAAUCUUCAAAACACUUUUGUUUGACAUUUUUAACAUUUUUCUCAUUUAGACAUUGUAAUUUACUUUAAUGUGUUUCUCGAAACCCAACGUGAUGUUUAUGCAAAUUUCGACUUCAAACAUAUUUAUAAAACAUCUCUAAUGCUUGUAUUUCAAAACACACAUUAUUUGUGUACUUUGCCUUAAUAUAGUUUUAUAAAGUAUGAAGUUUUUAAAAAUUAUAGCAUUUGAAAACUUAGUGUUCACUUUUAAAUUCCCAGUGAUGCACUUUCGACAACACGAAAUUAUUGUUUUAAAUAUACCGAGUUUUACCUUAUCUAUUUUUACCAUUGUUGGACUCAAGCCUAAAAGGGUCAAGACUGUCAGAUUUUCAAUUACCAGUUGUAGUGCUUCUUCUUUUUUUUACAAUUGGAGUUUAACUUAAUAGAUAACUUGUGAAUUUUUAGCAAUCCUUAGCAAACACUUUAAAACUCGAAUAUGUUCAUUUAACCAUCAAUAUACAUCAAAUAUUGAAGUUUGAAAUAUAUCUCAACCUGGUUUUAAAUCUACCUAUAGGUAUUGUUCUUAUAAUUUUAACGAUAACAAUCAUUGUCGCCGCUACCUUCCUUUUUCUUUUCCCUGAACUUGGUUUCUCGCUCUCCUUUUGAUUUUAGAUCUUGCACGCUAUAAUAUUAACAUAAUACAUUGUCUGACUAUGUUUCUUUGUAUUUUGCUUCUCUUAGUACAAUGUCCGUGCACAUAUAGACUAGAAGUCUACCCUUUCGUUUUGAGCGAUUAAUACAUGUAGUCUUGAAAAAUAAUUUUAAUUUAGUCAGCUUUGACAUAUUCAAAUAUGUCAUUUAUCAUAUACUUUUUAUUUGUAUUUUGAAAUCUACUCUUAAACAAGUAAUCCUUAUUUACAUUUACUCUUUCAUUUUAAAGUCGGAAACUUGAUUUAAAAUGCAAUUUUCAUUGAAUUUUUCAUUAUAAUUAAUGCACAAGAUGAAUGCUCUUAUGCUUCUCAUUUUUCUAUAUUUGGAAAUUAUAUGUGAAGGAUAUGUUUCCUUAUGAUUUUCUUUUCUUUCAAUACAUCAAAAGUUUUGAAUUUUAUGAUUAUCUAUUCUCUAAAUGAUUGUUUUCGUAGAACCACUAAACUAAGAAUGCACUAUUUCCAAAGAUCAACAUUUUUACACAUUUCUUAAAAUAGCAUUUUACUUUGCAAUUUUCAGUGAGUUCCUAAACUCUCAAACUUGUUAUCAUAAGUAUUCGGACUCCUCGUAAACUUGAAUUUGUCCUGACUUAGACAAUUGGAUAAUUUCUCAAAAGUUUAAUAUGAAUAUUUCUAUAUAUAUUCCCUCAUUGAUGACUUAAACCUUUAACCUUAAUUAAUCUUUAUAUUAUUUCACUACUUUGUUGGAUCGCCACACAUGUAUCUUCAUUAUCUUAGAAUUAUUAAAUAUUUUGACAAUAGUGAGAUUAAUUAUCAUUUCUAAAAACACAUUUUGAUAAUAGUUAGAUUUUUAUCACUUCUAAGCACUUAAAAUGCUAUAUACACAAUGUGAUUUAAUUUAUCAUAAACUUUCACCGCCUUCAUUAGAAACAGUGACUCUCUAAUUAUAUAUACUCUUCGAAUAUAGUUCUAUUAUUGUAAGAGUAACCGUAGUAGUAAUUACAGCCUCGGAGAUCCUCAAUCAUUUCGUAAUUUAUUUUGUAGACGACACUUAAAUGGCCUUUACAUUUGAGAUGUACUAAAACUUCGUUGCCUACCUUACUACGUAUUUUUAGGAACUUACCCUCGAUCGCUUCCCUUUCAUUCGUGCUACCCCUUCUUAUUUCAAAAUAUAUCUUUUCCAGAGGUAAUAGCUAACCCAUAAGUGAACAAAUUGUUCCUAAUCUCUUCUUUAUUAGGUGGCGAAUUUACACUUAGUGCUAAUUUAGAAUGCGGCUUAAGCAUCAAUGCGGAUUUAACACUCAGUGCAGUUGGUGAUUCAGCAAAACUUAUACCGCUCUCUUAAUUCAGAUAAUAUCUAACUAGAUGAUCUUUUUCAACUAGGUCACCAUGGUUGGAUCAUGAUUUCCAUGAUCCUAAUUUCUCGCAAUCUAGACUGUAGAACUCGAAUUAGGGAAACAUUAAUUUGAUUAUAGCUAAAGAGUUGGGCCCUUCCCUUGAUGAAUUAACCCAAAAUAAUCAAAGAGCUCUUCAAGUCACCACCUCUCCAAUUAUACAAUUGUAUUCGGCUGAGUUCUAAUAGAAUGUGUCACGAAUUGAAUUUCGGGACGAAAUUCUUUCAACCGGGGGAGACUGUGACAACCGUCAAAAUUCGAGUCGGUUCUAGAUUUGACUAGACUUAGUUGCACAUAUAGGCACUACACACACUAGACUUAGUAACUGGAAGCUAAGUUAUAACCUACUAGAAACCUGGAAACAAUUAGAAUCAAUGGAUAGUGUACUUAGAUUUCACAUUGAUAUGUGAAUUCUACAUCUACUGAGCUGUAGUGACUAUCCAUAUUUGGGUCACUCUUUGACUCGAACAACAUUUCAUGAAUCAUAUACACACAUCAUGCACUUGACCUAGUGGUAGAAAUUAGGUCAAAGUCACAUAGAAACUUAAGUCAAAGUUGAAGAGUAGGACUAGUAUACUUGAUUCCUCAAUUUCGCUUGAAUCUCGGAAUCACUACAUAGAAUGCCAAUAAACCGAUAAAAAAAUAUUACAAACAUUAUUUCUAACUUGAAUAAGAGUUAUGAAACUCUAAAAUAGUUUGAAGUCUCAAAAUUUAAUUAAUUUUGAUAUCCAAAGACUUACAAACUCUCAAAAACCCUAAAUGCCCUAAAAACUCAAAUUUAUAAACUUUAA
rnacentral:lncRNA from 1 species